rnacentral:lncRNA from 1 species
GGAUUUAGAAACUCACUCAAAACCACUCAACUACAUGGAAACUGAACAACCUGCUCCUGAAUGACUACUGGGUACAUAAUGGCUCAUGGAUAGGAAGAAUCAAUAUUGCUAAAAUGGCCAUACUGCCCAAGGUAAUUUAUAGAUUCAAUGCCAUCCCCAUCAAGCUACCAACGACUUUCUUCACAGAAUUGGAAAAAACUACUUUAAAGUUCAUAUGGAACCAAAAAAGAGCCCACAUUGCCAAGUCAAUCCUAAGCCAAAAGAACAAAGCUGGAGGCAUCAUGCUA